rnacentral:rRNA from 1 species
UCAGAUUAGCUUGUUGGUGAGGUAAGAGCCCACCAAGGCGACGAUCUGUAGCGGGUCUGAGAGGAUGAUCCGCCACACUGGAACUGAGACACGGUCCAGACUCCUACGGGAGGCAGCAGUGGGGAAUUUUGGACAAUGGGGGCAACCCUGAUCCAGCCAUGCCGCGUGAGUGAAGAAGGCCUUCGGGUUGUAAAGCUUUUUCAGCCGGGAAGAAAACGCAUGGGUUAAUACCCUGUGUGGAUGACGGUACCGGAAUAAGAAGCACCGGCUAACUACGUGCCAGCAGCCGCGGUAAUACGUAGGGUGCGAGCGUUAAUCGGAAUUACUGGGCGUAAAGCGUGCGCAGGCGGUUUUGUAAGACAGGCGUGAAAUCCCUGGGCUUAACCUGGGAACUGCGUUUGUGACUGCAAGGCUAGAGUACGGCAGAGGGGGGUGGAAUUCCACGUGUAGCAGUGAAAUGCGUAGAGAUGUGGAGGAACACCAAUGGCGAAGGCAGCCCCCUGGGUCGAUACUGACGCUCAUGCACGAAAGCGUGGGUAGCAAACAGGAUUAGAUACCCUGGUAGUCCACGCCCUAAACGAUGUCAACUAGGUGUUGGGAGGGUAAAACCUUUUAGUACCGGAGCUAACGCGUGAAGUUGACCGCCUGGGGAGUACGGCCGCAAGGUUAAAACUCAAAGGAAUUGACGGGGACCCGCACAAGCGGUGGAUGAUGUGGAUUAAUUCGAUGCAACGCGAGAAACCUUACCUACCCUUGACAUGCCAAGAACUUUCCAGAGAUGGAUUGGUGCCCGAAAGGGAACUUGGACACAGGUGCUGCAUGGCUGUCGUCAGCUCGUGUCGUGAGAUGUUGGGUUAAGUCCCGCAACGAGCGCAACCCUUGUCGUUAAUUGCCAUCAUUUAGUUGGGCACUUUAACGAGACUGCCGGUGACAAACCGGAGGAAGGUGGGGAUGACGUCAAGUCCUCAUGGCCCUUAUGGGUAGGGCUUCACACGUCAUACAAUGGUCGGUACAAAGGGUCGCCAAGCCGCGAGGUGGAGCCAAUCCCAGAAAGCCGAUCGUAGUCCGGAUCGCAGUCUGCAACUCGACUGCGUGAAGUCGGAAUCGCUAGUAAUCGUGGAUCAGAAUGUCACGGUGAAUACGUUCCCGGGUCUUGUACACACCGCCCGUCACACCAUGGGAGCGGGUUCCGCCAGAAGUAGGUAGCCUAACCGCAAGGAGGGCGCUUACCACGGCGGGGUUCGUGACUGGGGUGAAGUCGAAACAAGGUA